rnacentral:lncRNA from 1 species
AUAUACUGAGUAUAAUUUCUCUUCUAGUAACCUUGCUUCUUGCAAAAGAAGUACUCUGCCUAACUUUGAUCAGCCUUGAACUUGAGUUUCUGGGACUGACUCCCAGCACCAGGCACCUUCUUAAUUUUUUUUCUCUUUCUUAUAGGGAUGACGACUACCCAAAGAAGGUCCUCCCACUAGAUUCACUAUCUCCUUAUGGAACUGAUGAUCCUUCUCAAAAGUCUGCAGCAACCCCAACAGAUCGUGGUAGUUAACUACAGGCUUCGUCAUUCUGAAAUGAUUGAGGAACGGC